AGCAGCCGCGGUAAUUCCAGCUCCAAUAGCGUAUAUUAAAGUUGUUGCAGUUAAAAAGCUCGUAGUUGAAUUUCGGGGUUAGUAGGUCGGUCGUGCCACAGGUAUGUACUGGUCUCACUGAUUCCUCCUUCCUGAUGAACCGUAAUGCCAUUAAUUUGGUGUUGCGGGGAAACUGGACUGUUACUUUGAAAAAUUAGAGUGUUUAAAGCAGGCUAACGCUUGAAUACAUUAGCAUGGAAUAAUGAAAUAGGACGUUCGAUCCUAUUUUGUUGGUUUCUAGGAUUGACGUAAUGAUUAAUAGGGAUAGUUGGGGGCAUUAGUAUUCAAUUGUCAGAGGUGAAAUUCUUGGAUUUAUUGAAGACUAACUACUGCGAAAGCAUUUGCCAAGGAUGUUUUCAUUAAUCAAGAACGAAAGUUAGGGGAUCGAAGACGAUCAGAUACCGUCGUAGUCUUAACCAUAAACUAUGCCGAC
rnacentral:rRNA from 1 species